AUACGGAGGGUGCGAGCGUUAUUCGGAAUCACUGGGCGUAAAGGACGCGUAGGCGGGUUGGCAAGUCAGAUGUGAAAUCCUACAGCUUAACUGUAGAACUGCAUUUGAAACUGCUAACCUAGAGUAUGGGAGGGGGAGAUGGAAUUAGUGGUGUAGGGGUAAAAUCCGUAGAUAUCACUAGGAAUACCGAAAGCGAAGGCGAUCUCCUGGAACAUAACUGACGCUAAGGCGUGAAAGCGUGGGGAGCAAACAGGAUUAGAUACCCCAGUAGUCC
rnacentral:rRNA from 1 species